UGUCCUUAAAUAUCAAUCUAAAGUAUCUAACAACCUCCAAGAUUAUGAAUGAACUUAAUAACAAGUAAGAACAUAACAACAUCAAUAACUAGAUGCAAAAGGAGAUUUAGAUGAUAUCAAAUACUAACAUCAGCAACAACCAUAAGAUCUACUCUUAAUACCAACAAAGACUUCAAAGAACUUCAAAACUCACAACUAAAGGUAUGUGGGCC
rnacentral:lncRNA from 1 species